AGUGAACGCUGGCGGUAGGCCUAACACAUGCGAGUCGAACGGCAGCACAGUAAGAGCUUGCUCUUACGGGUGGCGAGUGGCGGACGGGUGAGGAAUACAUCGGAAUCUACUUUUUCGUGGGGGAUAACGUAGGGAAACUUACGCUAAUACCGCAUACGACCUACGGGUGAAAGCAGGGGAUCUUCGGACCUUGCGCGAUUGAAUGAGCCGAUGUCGAAUUAGCUAGUUGGCGGGGUAAAGGCCCACCAAGGCGACGAUCCGUAGCUGGUCUGAGAGGAUGAUCAGCCACACUGGAACUGAGACACGGUCCAGACUCCUACGGGAGGCAGCAGUGGGGAAUAUUGGACAAUGGGCGCAAGCCUGAUCCAGCCAUACCGCGUGGGUGAAGAAGGCCUUCGGGUUGUAAAGCCCUUUUGUUGGGAAAGAAAAGCAGCAGGUUAACACCCCGCUGUUCUGACGGUACCCAAAGAAUAAGCACCGGCUAACUUCGUG
rnacentral:rRNA from 1 species